rnacentral:misc_RNA from 1 species
GUAGGUGAACCUGCGGAAGGAUCAUUACAGAGUUCAUGCCCUUACGGGUAGAUCUCCCACCCUUUGAGUACUAUACUUUUGUUGCUUUGGCAGGCCGCUUCGGCUACCGGCUUCGGCUGGUUAGUGCCCACCAGAGGACCACAACUCUGUAAUAAAUGUCGUCUGAGUACUAUAAAAUAGUUAAAACUUUCAACAACGGAUCUCUUGGUUCUGGCAUCGAUGAAGAACGCAGCAUCUGACUGACUACGUG